rnacentral:rRNA from 1 species
ACUCCUACGGGAGGCAGCAGUAGGGAAUCUUCCACAAUGGGCGCAAGCCUGAUGGAGCAACACCGCGUGAGUGAAGAAGGGUUUCGGUCUCGUAAAGCUCUGUUGUUAAAGAAGAACACGUAUGAGAGUAACUGUUCAUACGUUGACGGUAUUUAACCAGAAAGUCACGGCUAACUAUGUGCCAGCAGCCGCGGUAAUACGUAGGUGGCAAGCGUUAUCCGGAUUUAUUGGGCGUAAAGAGAGUGCAGGCGGUUUUCUAAGUCUGAUGUGAAAGCCUUCGGCUUAACCGGAGAAGUGCAUCGGAAACUGGAUAACUUGGUGCAGAAGAGGGUAGUGGAACUCCAUGUGUAGCGGUGGAAUGCGUAGAUAUAUGGAAGAACACCAGUGGCGAAGGCGGCUACCUGGUCUGCAACUGACGCUGAGACUCGAAAGCAUGGGUAGCGAACAGGAUUAGAUACCCUGGUAGGAUAGCG